UACAGAGGGGGCAAGCGUUAUUCGGAAUUAUUGGGCGUAAAGGGCGCGUAGGCGGCUUGGCAAGUGGAUGGUGAAAUCCCUCGGCUUAACCGAGGAGCUGCCGUCCAAACUGCUUCGCUUGAGACCGGGAGAGGUGAGUGGAAUUCCCAGUGUAGCGGUGAAAUGCGUAGAUAUUGGGAGGAACACCAGUGGCGAAGGCGGCUCACUGGACCGGUACUGACGCUGAGGCGCGAAAGCGUGGGGAGCAAACGGG
rnacentral:rRNA from 1 species